AACGAACGCUGGCGGCAUGCCUAACACAUGCAAGUCGAACGAAGCCUUCGGGCUUAGUGGCGCACGGGUGCGUAACGCGUGGGAACCUACCAUCAGGUUCGGAAUAACAGUUAGAAAUGACUGCUAAUACCGGAUAAUGUCUUCGGACCAAAGAUUUAUCGCCUUUUGAUGGGCCCGCGUAAGAUUAGGUAGUUGGUGGGGUAAAGGCCUACCAAGCCGACGAUCUUUAGCUGGUCUGAGAGGAUGAUCAGCCACACUGGGACUGAGACACGGCCCAGACUCCUACGGGAGGCAGCAGUGGGGAAUAUUGGACAAUGGGCGAAAGCCUGACGCAGCGACGCCGCGUGGGGGAUGAAGGUUUUCGGAUUGUAAACCCCUUUCAUGAGGAAAGAUAAAGUGGGUAACCACUUAGACGGUACCUCAAGAAGAAGCCACGGCUAACUUCGUG
rnacentral:rRNA from 1 species